rnacentral:rRNA from 1 species
GAUCAUGGCUCAGGACGAACGCUGGCGGCGCGCCUAACACAUGCAAGUCGAACGGGGGUUAUACGGGAUGAAGUUUUCGGAUGGAAUUCUAUAUAACCUAGUGGCGGACGGGUGAGUAACACGUGAGCAACCUGCCUAUCAGAGGGGGGAUAACGAUUGGAAACGAUCGCUAAUACCGCAUGACAUAGCGAAGAGGCAUCUUUUUGUCUAUCAAAGAAUUUAUUCGCUGAUAGAUGGGCGUCG